GACGAACGCUGGCGGCGUGCCUAAUACAUGCAAGUCGAACGAGAGCGACCGGUGCUUGCACUGGUCAAUCUAGUGGCGAACGGGUGAGUAACACGUGGGUAACCUGCCCAUCAGAGGGGGAUAACAUUCGGAAACGGAUGCUAAAACCGCAUAGGUCUUCGAACCGCAUGGUUUGAAGAGGAAAAGAGGCGCAAGCUUCUGCUGAUGGAUGGACCCGCGGUGCAUUAGCUAGUUGGUGAGGUAACGGCUCACCAAGGCCGUGAUGCAUAGCCGACCUGAGAGGGUGAUCGGCCACAGUGGGACUGAGACACGGCCCAAACUCCUACGGGAGGCAGCAGUAGGGAAUCUUCCGCAAUGGACGCAAGUCUGACGGAGCAACGCCGCGUGAGUGAAGAAGGUUUUCGGAUCGUAAAACUCUGUUGUUAGAGAAGAACAAGUGCUAGAGUAACUGUUAGCGCCUUGACGGUAUCUAACCAGAAAGCCACGGCUAACUACGUG
rnacentral:rRNA from 1 species